UCCCUGAUGGUCUAGUGGUUAGGAUUCGGCGCUUUCACCGCUGUGACCCGGGUUCGAUUCCCGGUUAGGGAA